rnacentral:rRNA from 1 species
GACGAACGCUGGCGGCGUGCUUAACACAUACAAGUCGAACGGAAAGGCCCUGCUUUUGUGGGGUGCUCGAGUGGCGAACGGGUGAGUAACACGUGAGUAACCUGCCCUUGACUUUGGGAUAACUUCAGGAAACUGGGGCUAAUACCGGAUAGGAGCUCCUGCUGCAUGGUGGGGGUUGGAAAGUUUCGGCGGUUGGGGAUGGACUCGCGGCUUAUCAGCUUGUUGGUGGGGUAGUGGCUUACCAAGGCUUUGACGGGUAGCCGGCCUGAGAGGGUGACCGGCCACAUUGGGACUGAGAUACGGCCCAGACUCCUACGGGAGGCAACAGUGGGGAAUAUUGCACAAUGGGCGGGAGCCUGAUGCAGCAACGCCGCGUGCGGGAUGACGGCCUUCGGGUUGUAAACCGCUUUCGCCUGUGACGAAGCGUGAGUGACGGUAAUGGGUAAAGAAGCACCGGCUAACUACGU